rnacentral:lncRNA from 1 species
CUGGAGGAGAAGGCCAUAGGCCAAGGUCACAGCAUGGAGGCAGAGGUGCAACUUGCCGAACAGCACCUGGCAUAUUCCAGCUCCCAUUAGAGGCCUCUUGUCAUGACUUUCCCCAUACAGUGGAGCAAUGAAACACUCACCUUCAUCCUGGCAUGCGACAGCCGUUUAGGAUGGCCCAUCUCACUUGCUCCUUUGCCAUGGUGCCCCAGGCCUUCCACAAGUCAGAAAUGUUCCUGGCUCUCCCACAGGAUCUGGCACCACAUGGAACUGGCUCUUCCCCAAAGUCGAAAUGACGGUGGGAGAGAAUGAUUCAGGACAUGCAGGCAGCCGUGAAGGUGCCACUAAAGACCCACACGAAAGAGGACUUCCUGAGCUGCUGCAGAACCUGGCAAGAAUGAUAGUAUGAGAGUGUGUGAAUUGAGGAGUAUUUUUAGGAGGA